rnacentral:rRNA from 1 species
AUUGAACGCUGGCGGAAUGCUUUACACAUGCAAGUCGAACGGCAGCACGGACUUCGGUCUGGUGGCGAGUGGCGAACGGGUGAGUAAUGUAUCGGAACGUAUCCAAUAAUGGGGAUAACUAGUCGAAAGAUUAGCUAAUACCGCAUACGCCCUACGGGGGAAAGCUAGGGACCUUCGGGCCUGGCGUUAAUGGAGCGGCCGAUAUCUGAUUAGCUAGUUGGUGAGGUAAAAGCUCACCAAGGCGACGAUCAGUAGCUGGUCUGAGAGGACGACCAGCCACACUGGAACUGAGACACGGUCCAGACUCCUACGGGAGGCAGCAGUGGGGAAUUUUGGACAAUGGGCGAAAGCCUGAUCCAGCCAUUCCGCGUGAGUGAAGAAGGCCUUCGGGUUGUAAAGCUCUUUCGCAAGAGAAGAAAACUUACCCUCUAACAUAGGGUGAGGCUGACGGUAUCUUGAUAAGAAGUACCGGCUAACUACGUGCCAGCAGCCGCGGUAACAC